rnacentral:rRNA from 1 species
GACGAACACUGGCGGCGUGCCUAAUACAUGCAAGUCGAACGCUUUUUCUUUCACCGGAGCUUGCUCCACCGAAAGAAAAAGAGUGGCGAACGGGUGAGUAACACGUGGGUAACCUGCCCAUCAGAAGGGGAUAACACUUGGAAACAGGUGCUAAUACCGUAUAACACUAUUUUACGCAUGGCAGAAAGUUGAAAGGAGCUUUUGCGUCACUGGUGGAUGGACCCGCGGUGCAUUAGCUAGUUGGUGAGGUAACGGCUCACCAAGGAAACGAUGCAUAGCCGACCUGAGAGGGUGAUCGGCCACACUGGGACUGAGACACGGCCCAGACUCCUACGGGAGGCAGCAGUAGGGAAUCUUCGGCAAUGGACGAAAGUCUGACCGAGCAACGCCGCGUGAGUGAAGAAGGUUUUCGGAUCGUAAAACUCUGUUGUUAGAGAAGAACAAGGAUGAGAGUAGAACGUUCAUCCCUUGACGGUAUCUAACCAGAAAGCCACGGCUAACUACGUGCCAGCAGCCGCCGUAA